CACUUACUCCCUCCGUCUAACAAAGAAUGUCUUAACUUUGACUAAAUUUGAAUGCAUCUAUGCACUAAGUCAUGUCUAGAUACAUUCAUAUUUUAACAAACUUAAGACAUCUUUUGUUGGACGGAAGGAGUAUUAU
rfam:Brachypodium distachyon strain Bd21 chromosome 3, whole genome shotgun sequence.